GGGCCUGUGGAGGAGGGGAACAGGACAAAUUCUCCCGUAGCAGCUCGCGAGUCGCAACCGCGUCCACCGGGCGAACAACACCGGAUCGUGAUGGAGAGCUGGGUCCGCGCGGUGGUGGAGGCCAUCCAUUCCUCUCGCUCCCAGGCCGUCAUCUACCUCGCCGGCGGCGCCUCGCAGGCGCUCGGCUGGCUGCUGUCCGUGCCCGGCGCGUCCGGCACCGUCCUCGAGGUCGUCGUGCCCUACUCCAGGGCCUCCAUGGCGCAGCUCCUCGGCAAGAUGCCCUUGCAAUUCACCAGCAAGCAGGCCGCAGAGGACAUGGCACUGGCCGCGUACAACCGUGCCCUCAAGCUUUCUGGACCAGGUCUUCAAGUGUUGGGCGUUGGCUUUACUGGGUCACUGGCUAGCUCACGUCCAAAACAUGGUGAUCACAGGUUCUAUGUGUCAACGCGGACACACAGUUGCCUCAGGACAUCACAUGUUACUUUGUCAAAGGGUUUUCGGAGCAGAGAGGAAGAAGACACAGUUUCGAGCUAUUUUUUGCUAAAGGCAAUAGCAGAUACCUGCAGAGUAUCUGCAACCAUUCAGUCAGACAUUCAAGAACCUGAAAUUCCAGAAGAAAGCAUUGAACAAUUCGAUGAAGAUCAAGAACUCCAGCAAGUUAUUAAUGGGCAAGUUUGCAUGAAAGUCUAUCACUUUGCUGAUCCGGUGGAAAAGAAUUUCAACAGAAAAAUAAUUCUACCUGGUUCAUUCAAUCCCUUGCAUGAUGGCCACCUUAGGCUGUUGGAAGUUGCAUCAAGCAUGUGUGAUGAUGGGAUUCCAUUCUUUGAGAUAUCAGCAAUUAAUGCCGACAAACCUCCACUAUCUAUUGCAGAAAUUAAGAAACGGGUUGAGCAAUUUAGAAACGCAGGGAAGAAUGUGAUCAUAUCUAACCAACCGUACUUCUACAAGAAAGCGGAACUUUUCCCAGGCAGUGCUUUUAUAAUUGGUGCAGACACUGCAGCUAGGCUUGUUAAUCCUAAGUAUUAUGGAGGAGAUUACAAUAGAAUGCUGGAGAUACUUCUCGAAUGUAAAAGCACAGGUACCACUUUUCUUGUUGGUGGCCGAAAGAUUGAAGGAGUUUUCAUGGUCCUCGAAGAUUUAGACAUUCCAGGAGAGCUGAGAGACAUGUUUAUCUCCAUACCAGAGGAAACGUUUCGCAUGGAUAUUUCAUCUACUGAAAUAAGAAAAAGCCAAGGUCUCUGAUGUAUCAAACGCAUGGUCAUAUUCUACAGCAGAUUCUUUAUAAAUAUAGAAGGUACAUUUGGAUGCUAGCAGUCGGGUCUGAAUUCUCAAGGCUCAAUUGGAGUUACUUCUUCUCUUAUCUGGGAGCAUCCUUUUGCCAAUUAUAAUAAGCCCAUUUUCCUUGAAAUCUAAUCAGAUGACAAGUCAUUCCCUUUCAAGGGAAUUAUUGAUGUAUGCUGACAUCUUCAUGGACUAUAUUUUAUUUAACUUUUGACUUUACAGGGCCUUUUGGUAUUUUGUUGAGCAAAUUGGAAUCGAUCUUCUUGUAGAACUUCUUGAUGUCUUCGCUACCCUUCGCAGCUAGAUGGUCCACCUCUGUCUCAUAUCUUUGGUACAAUGCUGGCAAAGUGUGGGCGCACAAAAAUCCUGUGGAAGUAAGAAAUGUAGACUUGUUAAAUGUAUUAGUGACAGUUGGUUUAGAUGAUUUUAUCAGAGUGAAUUGAUAAUGUUCCUCGUA